rnacentral:rRNA from 1 species
UACGAAGGGGGCUAGCGUUGCUCGGAAUCACUGGGCGUAAAGGGUGCGUAGGCGGGUCUUUAAGUCAGAGGUGAAAUCCUGGAGCUCAACUCCAGAACUGCCUUUGAUACUGAAGAUCUUGAGUUCGGGAGAGGUGAGUGGAACUGCGAGUGUAGAGGUGAAAUUCGUAGAUAUUCGCAAGAACACCAGUGGCGAAGGCAGCUCACUGGCCCGAUACUGACGCUGAGGCACGAAAGCGUGGGGAGCA